rnacentral:rRNA from 1 species
UACGGGGGGGGGCAAGCGUUGUUCGGAAUCAUUAGGCGUAAAGAGCGUGUAGGCGGCCAGAUAAGUCCGCUGUGAAAUCUCGAGGCUCAACUUCGAGCUGUCGGCGGAAACCAUCUGGCUAGAGUCCGGAAGAGGAGAAUGGAAUUCCCGGUGUAGCGGUGAAAUGCGCAGAUAUCGGGAAGAACACCCGUGGCGAAGGCGGUUCUCUGGGACGGUACUGACGCUGAGACGCGAAAGCGUGGGGAGCGAACAGG